rnacentral:rRNA from 1 species
UCGCUCAUACCGAUUUCGAGUGGUCUGGUGAAUCCUUCGGACCGGGAGAGGCUCCUGCCUAUUCUGGAAAGUCGUGUAAACCAAAUCACUUAGAGGAAUGAG